GGUUGGGGGCGUUGGGGAUGACCCCCCCCCCCCAAACCCUCACACUCCUUCCUAAAGGCGGCUAAUGUUUCUUUUGAAGAAAUAAUCCUGUUUGGCCAUCUAAUAGCACUCGGCAAUUAUGAGCCUUUGCAGGGCAUGUAUGGUAUUACAAGAGGUGGCUACCAGCAUGUGUAUGGAGGUGGAGUGAACUAGAUCAAAAGUCCUGAGCGGGUAAGAGAUGUUUUCAAACAUGUAACUAAAUAAAGCUAUAUGUUAAUUAAAUGAAAUUACUCACUUUUAAAAUCCCUCUUUCGGUGAUACGGAAAAUGCUUACAUUGCAAAAGGGUGGAAAUAGCUGGAAUCUUUUUGUUUCAUUGGUUUUUGAAACAAUAUUGUAUGUGAAAAAGUGUCAUUCAUAUCAUCAAACUUGAAGGGAACAAUUAAUCUUCUGCGCUAUAAAUGUAAUCAGUUAAUGUAUUGUUGGUGUACUCAAUAUUAAAAUGAAUAUUUUUGCAAUACCAUAUAUUGAGAAUUGCAUCAACAGUAACAUUUUGGGUGAAUAACCAUUGCAGAAACUUCAAACUAUCUCAUGUGCUGACUUUUUGUAGAUUGUGCCAGUGCAAUAUUUAUUUCAAUCGUUAGUAAAUCAUCCCCAGAAUACAAAAAAUUCAUGAAUUAAACUGUUCAAUUUAUUUUCAUUCAAAAUUCAACUAUCUGUAUCUCCUGAUUCCCUUAUAUUGUACAAAAAAAAUCAUAGGCUUUUGUGAUUCAUUUGAUUUAAUUUCCAAUUUCCUAUGUACAGUAUUUGUUAUUUCUUACAUAAUUUAGGUCACAAUAAUUGUAUGCGACAGGUUGGGGUUCAAAUGUUGCCCCCUUGUGGAUCACUUUAAAGCAUAAAAUGUGUUAUUUACCAACUGUGACUGUCCUUCACUAUUCCAUUUGAUCACAUAAUACAGUACAAUACAAUAAUAUCUGUGACGAUGAGCAGUUGUUCAUGCUAAAAGCUACAAUUAAUUGUUCUCACUCAGAAGAAAUAAUGUGUUCAUAAAAAAAAAUAAAACCUCUUCCUCUAUAAUUUCAGGUGAGCUUUAUAGAGAGGAAGAAUUGGCCUCUAUGCAGAACUGGAGGAAACGUGCUGAAUGUAUGAGAGGAACUGAGGGGUGAAAUAAAAGAAGGGAACUCAAGGACUUUGGCUCCUCACCGAGUGCUUAACAAUAUCUCCAUCAUCAUCAUGUCAUCACUCAAUUAAAAGACCAAAGGCCAUUCCAGGAAGAUCUUGUGGUCGUCCUUCUAACCUUCUGUCGUGUUCAUGCAUGUGUGUCUGUAUUCAAUGAACAAUAGGCACUCCUUCAAUUGUUUUGUUAUCAGUCCCCCCCCCCCCCCACACACACACAGACACACACACACUCACGGGAUCUAGUAAAAGUGCCUGUAUACUGAAAUACUGUCGCUUUAGUUAAAACUUAAUAUUAUGCAUUAAAUUCAAUAAAUGUCUGUAUUGUGCUAAGCAGGAAAUGGACCACUAUGCAGCAUGAUGUCUGCGAUAAUGACGCGUGUGCGAACUUGUGGCUUACUCUGCUGCCAGUGUGUGUGAGUGUCUGUAUAGUUUAGUCAUAUGGGGGGGUGGGACCGGGUUCAGUGGUAGGACAAUCUCAACC